rnacentral:misc_RNA from 1 species
GCGUCCGAUUUGCUAAGAAUUUUUAACCGAUUUCGAAAAAGCAGUGGUCAGUGAAUUUUUGGUGGAAUUCGGACAGUUAAUUAUUUAACACUCGCGAAAAUUGGGUCAUCCACGAUAAUCUGAGGCGUGUGAUCUGGAGCGAGUAAACACUUCUUUCAUUGAGAACGUUCAUUCUUGAGAAAGAGAGCAAACUUGCAAUCUAUUAUUUUCAUGCUUUGUUGCAGUCAUCGAUGUAAACAAACAAAUUGCAUGCCAAUUGAUAUACUUUCGUGUUGCAAUUUUAUCUGCGGAAGAGCUUUUGCAAAUAUUUUAUCUUUCAAUGGUACAAGGAUUUAGUUCAUGAUGCAAUUCCUCUUAUUAUUGCUAUUUCUCUUCCAAGUAUCUCCAGGGCGAGCAGAUUUAUUUGAGCUUUCGGUGAUACACCUAAACGAUUUCCAUGCAAGAUUUGAGCAAACGGGUCCUCGAUCAGGAGUAUGUCACAAAGAAAACGAAAAGGAAUGUGUCGGUGGAAUAGCAAGAAUAUCGACGGCAGUGAAUCGAUUAAUGAAAGAUAGACCAAAUCCAAUUUUCCUGAAUGCCGGUGACAACUUUCAAGGAACAUUUUGGUACAACGUCCAUCGUUGGAAUGUGACAGCAACUUUCAUGAACAUGUUACCGCACGACGUUAUGACAUUAGGAAAUCACGAAUUCGAUAACAACGUGGAGGGUGUCGUUCCUUAUUUGAAAGCGGUUAAAGCUCCGGUGGUGGUCACGAAUAUAGACGCAACUGAAGAACCAACGAUGCAGGGACUGUACAAAAACAGUACAAUCAUCGAGAGAGGCGGCAGGAAAAUCGGAGUUAUCGGCGUCAUUUUAUCGACUACAAACACAAUCGCCGUGACGGGGAAAUUAAAGUUUCUGGACGAGGUGGAAACGGUGAACGCCGAGGCACGUAGAUUAAAGUCUCAAGGAGUUCACAUUAUUAUCGUUUUGAGUCAUUGUGGUUUAGACGUGGACAGAAUAAUGGCAGCUAAGUGUCCUUUAAUCGAUGUCAUCGUUGGAGGACACACGCACACGUUCCUCUACUCGGGAACACCUCCCUUUAUCGACGUCCCUGAGGACAAGUAUCCUGUGGUGGUUGUACAAGAAAAUACCAACAGAAACGUGUUGAUCGUUCAAGCAGCAGCUUACACCAAGUACCUGGGAAACUUGACGGUAUGGUUCGACGAGGAUGGCGAGGUUGUUCAGUGGGCUGGAAAUCCGAUUCUUCUUGAUCAAUCCAUCGAGCAAGAUCCUGAAAUGGUGAAAGCUUUGGAACCCUGGAAAGAAAGCGUAGACGAGAAAGCAUCAGCCUCGAUAGCUUACUCGAGGGUUUUUCUCGACAAUCGCUGUCGCACUAAUGAGUGUAAUUUUGGCAAUUUAAUCACGGACGCUAUGGUGGAUUCUUACGUGGAACAGGCAGAGAAUCCGAACGUUUGGACAUACGCUGCAGUAGCGUGUACAAAUCCUGGAGGAAUUCGUACUUCUAUUGAUUCCAUGGGUCGGAACAUCACUUUAGGUGAUUUAAUAACAGCCAUUCCAUUCGAAAACACGUGGGACAUUCUUGAACUAAAAGGCAGCUGUAUCAUGCAGAUCCUAGAAAUGAAACAGACUUUAAUAUGGUCAGGACUAAAAGCAACUUAUAAGAUGAAUGACACUUCCAAAAACGUGGUGGAUGUUAAAAUACGAUGCCGAGAGUGUGAAGUGCCAAGGUUCGAAAAUGUAGUGGAAGAUAAAUGGUACAGGAUAGUGGUUCCAAAUUUUUUGGUCGAUGCGGGUGAUGGAUUCGAUCCUUUCAAAACCUGCGGCAAAAAUCACAAAGUCGGAUAUCUCGAAUCCGAUCUAUUGGCAGCGUACAUGAAGAAAAUCAGCCCGAUAUUAACCGGAAACGAUGGACGAGCUGUUUUUCUAAAUGUUGUCAAAUCGAAGAGAUCAGAAAAUUUCUUGUAGAUUAUAAAAUUUAGUUGAAAAGUACAUCGUUAACAAAAACUUUUCGUUGCAUGCUUGUUUCAAACGAAUGGAGAGUACAUAAUAAAUCUUACGCUCUAAUUAUGUUUGCUACCUUUCUCUAGCACGAUCUACUGGUAGCGAUAACAAUCUUUUUUGUAAAUACGUAUCCAAGCGUUUUAAGUACGUUUUCUAAUCGGGAAACUCUUAAAGAACGUAAGCACGAUAAUAAUAGGAUAUGAAAUCGUACAGCGUAGCGAUAGCGCAGUUUCCAAGAGAAGAAAGGCCAGAUGUAUUCGUGUGAUGGUUUAAUUUGGCGAGCUUGUUCGCCAAAGGAAAAACCUCGAGAAAGAAGCGGCGACGAAAAUCUCGCGUGAUAUCGUCGUGAAAGCAGGAAACGUUUGGGCGCUUAUCUCGCGGUAUCUUGACAUCACGGCAGGUGAAGCAUUUAAAUAAUAUAUCGAACAGGUGAAAUAGCAGCUGUUCGUCUGCAUCGUUGCCCUCCGCCAGAACGCGUGAAUCGCUUUGGAGUGCCGCGAGAAUGUUUCUUUUUACACACGAAAUUCGCUUUACGCACUCUUUUCUCAUCGUGACAUAGUUCCGUCCUUCUUUCCGUACUUUUAUCGCCUUUCUCUCACGAAAAUCUAACGAGUUCGAUCGAUUAUCUUUCUAGUUUCAGAGUGCCGGAAAGAUUGAAGGCAGAAGGAUGGCAAUCAAAUUUCAAUUUGCAUUGUAAAAGUUAUAACGGAGGUAACGAAGGACAUUAGUAGACGAAUUAUGACGAUUAAUUGAAGCAAUAAUGUCUGGCCGUGACUGAUACGAGCAGUAAUAUACACCAAAAGGAGAGGAGAAUAUAUGACAACCCGACAGCUGCUUCUCGAUUCCUGAAAUUCCUGUGUUCAUCCACGAACCGUCCAGCAACUACCUGACCAAUCAUCUAUCUCCAUACCUUCGACAACCUUGUCAAGCAACAACUAGAUCGCCUAACGGGUUACACCGUGUAAGAUAUAAUUUUAUUCGACGAUAAUGCAUUCGAGGUUAACACCUAACCCAUUGUUAUCCACUAAACGUUGCCUCUAUGAAUUUUUAUCUGUGCGUCUUGUUUGUAUUAUGUAACCCUCGUUGGACGCUCCUGGUUGCAUA